UGGCUCAGAUUGAACGCUGGCGGCAGGCCUAACACAUGCAAGUCGAACGGUAACAGAAAGCAGCUUGCUGUUUGCUGACGAGUGGCGGACGGGUGAGUAAUGUCUGGGAAACUGCCUGAUGGAGGGGGAUAACUACUGGAAACGGUAGCUAAUACCGCAUAACGUCGCAAGACCAAAGAGGGGGACCUUCGGGCCUCUUGCCAUCGGAUGUGCCCAGAUGGGAUUAGCUAGUAGGUGGGGUAACGGCUCACCUAGGCGACGAUCCCUAGCUGGUCUGAGAGGAUGACCAGCCACACUGGAACUGAGACACGGUCCAGACUCCUACGGGAGGCAGCAGUGGGGAAUAUUGCACAAUGGGCGCAAGCCUGAUGCAGCCAUGCCGCGUGUAUGAAGAAGGCCUUCGGGUUGUAAAGUACUUUCAGCGGGGAGGAAGGGAGUAAAGUUAAUACCUUUGCUCAUUGACGUUACCCGCAGAAGAAGCACCGGCUAACUCCGUGCCAGCAGCCGCGGUAAUACGGAGGGUGCAAGCGUUAAUCGGAAUUACUGGGCGUAAAGCGCACGCAGGCGGUUUGUUAAGUCAGAUGUGAAAUCCCCGGGCUCAACCUGGGAACUGCAUCUGAUACUGGCAAGCUUGAGUCUCGUAGAGGGGGGUAGAAUUCCAGGUGUAGCGGUGAAAUGCGUAGAGAUCUGGAGGAAUACCGGUGGCGAAGGCGGCCCCCUGGACGAAAACUGACGCUCAGGUGCGAAAGCGUGGGGAGCAAACAGGAUUAGAUACCCUGGUAGUCCACGCCGUAAACGAUGUCGACUUGGAGGUUGUGCCCUUGAGGCGUGGCUUCCGGAGCUAACGCGUUAAGUCGACCGCCUGGGGAGUACGGCCGCAAGGUUAAAACUCAAAUGAAUUGACGGGGGCCCGCACAAGCGGUGGAGCAUGUGGUUUAAUUCGAUGCAACGCGAAGAACCUUACCUGGUCUUGACAUCCACAGAACCUUGUAGAGAUACGAGGGUGCCUUCGGGAACUGUGAGACAGGUGCUGCAUGGCUGUCGUCAGCUCGUGUUGUGAAAUGUUGGGUUAAGUCCCGCAACGAGCGCAACCCUUAUCCUUUGUUGCCAGCGGUCCGGCCGGGAACUCAAAGGAGACUGCCAGUGAUAAACUGGAGGAAGGUGGGGAUGACGUCAAGUCAUCAUGGCCC
rnacentral:rRNA from 1 species